AACCUCUCCGGUGGCCUAGUGAUUUGAGCGUCCGCCUCGGACGCAGAAGGUUGUGGGUUCGAUCCCCGGCCGAGUCA